rnacentral:rRNA from 1 species
UACGUAGGGUGCGAGCGUUGUCCGGAAUUAUUGGGCGUAAAGGGCUCGUAGGCGGUUUGUCGCGUCGGGAGUGAAAACCAGGUGCUUAACACCUGGCUUGUUUUCGAUACGGGCAGACUAGAGGUAUGCAGGGGAGAACGGAAUUCCUGGUGUAGCGGUGAAAUGCGCAGAUAUCAGGAGGAACACCGGUGGCGAAGGCGGUUCUCUGGGCAUUACCUGACGCUGAGGAGCGAAAGUGUGGGGAGCGAACAGG